GUUUAAGAGUAUGUAGCACCUCCUCCCCUGCUGUCUUGCUCCUGCUCCGGCCAUGCUCAUAGGUGGAAGAAACUAGCCUUGUUUCAGAUGAGACUUUGGAUUUUGGACUUUGGACUUAUUUCUCCCAGAAGUAACAGAUGACUAGGACAAGCUGUGGUGAGAGAAGCCAUUGGCUGCCAUCUAGACUGUGUUGAAGGCACACAGUCACUUGUUAAAGGCAGGAGGCAUUGUAGCAUAAAGGAAGAAUAUUAGACAUUGAAUUCAGAGAAAUAUUGGCUUUACCACUAAAAAACAAUGUGACUCUGGAGACAUACCUAUUUGCGGCCUACUUCCUAUUCUCCAAGUGCAUUUUAAUUCCCCUGACUGCAUGAUUUUGUUCAGCAUUUAUGAAUAUCAUCUGUCUAAUCUGGAGAAACACAUCUUAUAGUUGGCCACUCUCAUGGUUCUUGUUGCCUUCUGUUGUCUGGAGGAAUCUAAGGAUUUAUGGAAGUUAUGUUGGUAUAUCAGAAGCUUGUUGGUAUAUAUUUGAGUAGAAGGGCUUCAAUGAAGUCAACUUAUACCACUAAGUGGAUUGUUGAUUCUUCGAUGGAUGAGGCUGUAUAAGGGGAUCAACAUUAAUCAAUGUUGCUGACAGGAUGGACAUUCAGCAGCAGCCUUGACAAGAGAAUGAAGGCCAAAUUGAGUUUCCUUGAGCAACUCAUUUAACGUUAAGAAUCAAGAUGGUGCCCAAGCUCAGAUGACAUCCUUUCUAACCCAUUUGGAAGGCUCCUCUCAUAGGAGGUGUGAAAGAAAAGAGAAUGGAAAGGAACAGGCUCUUCUCUUGAAGAAAAGCCCUCAGUCCAUACAGCCAGACUUUGUCUACAUAUGCCUCUCUAUGGGAUGCUGAGAGACCAAGGGCUUCUGACAUAGACAUGUGAGAAAUACCGGCUUUAAGUAUACUAUACUCAGUGUCAAAAGCUUUCAGGAUGCAAGAAAUUCCUGAAUUUGAGUCUCCAAAAUUUUAAACAAGGAAAGGAAGUAAAUAUUUCUUUAUCUCUUUUUUGAUGUAUGGCCCUAUAGUUGGCCAAAAAUGAUUGCUUCUGUUGUUAGAUAUUCAUGUAUAUUUAAGAUUAAAGAAGGUGAUAUUGAUGUGCAAAUAUGAGAGUAAAUUGACAGACAGAUAACCUAAAAAAGUACAGUAAAAUAAAGUUAAGAGUUGUGAUGAAUACCUAAAGGUCCAUUGCCAGAUGAAUGUGAAGACGGAAUGUGAUUUAUAUAUAUAGUGGAAUAUUAUUCAAUUAAAAAGAAAAUGCUAACACUUGCUAAUAUAAAUUAACCUUCAAGACAUUAUGCUAAGUGAAAGAAGCCAGAUACCAAAGGACAAAUAUUGCACUGUUCCACAUAUAUGAAGUGAACAUCACAUAUUGCUGAAGUUCUCAUCAUCAGAAAGAGGCAGAGCUAAGAUUUAAAUCCAGACAUGCCUGGUUCUGAAUUCAGUUGUCUCCCUACACCCAGGAGCUUAUUACAUGCAUUGUGCUAGUCUUCCUGGAAAUCAGGCAAACUCAGUCCACUGCACCUCAUCUCCUUAUGUAAUAACCUGGAGAGUGGUGAGAGCCAUCUGCUUCAAGAGCGACAUAUUUGAGUCCAUAAGGUAAUAGGUUGGCAGAGAACAGAAGGAUUAUGACAUUGCCAUUUGGCAUUCUUGACUUACUCUGCAUUUAUAAAAUCGAAAUACAUAGUCCAUCAUGUUCUCACAGAGCCUACCAUUAUCAGUCAUUCUGAAAUAAACAUGGUUAGGGACGUCAUGUUCAAAAUAAGUGAUCCUUGUUUUCGGGAAUGAUGUCUGGCAGGAGGAGUUUUUAAAUCCUGCUUUCUGAAGCACUAGCUUACAAAUGACUUUGUGAAGUGUAUUUUGAUUCUGGGGCCCAAGAAGGAGAAAAACAAGUAAGGGAGAAAAACAUAGGCUGGAUCUUAAGAUCACAAGAUAACAGAUGGAUUAAAGGGUAGAAGCCAGAGCAGAGGUUCCAAAACAAGAUUGAUCAUUCAAAUUCAUCUGAAGAACUUUAAAUAUAUGUAUUUACCUGAACCCAGCUUCAGGAAUGAGGCUCAGACAUCUGUGUAUUUAAAAUCUCCUGUGGUUAUUCUGAUAAUUAGCCUCAGUUUUGAGUCAUCUAACAAAGAAAAAGCAAAACAUAUGUCAAUCAGUUUAUCUUACUGUAAUUAAACUUUAGUGGGAAACAUGAGGUGACCCCAAAGAACUGGUUAAGUGUGGCUUAAGCAUUAGUUAAGCAAAUGUACCAAAAGACAAUUUUAAAAACCAAAUAAAAAGAAAUUUUAGUUUAUUCUCAGGGGCUUUCACAGGAGUCUAUAAAAAUCUCAAAAACAUCCAGGAAGCUCCCAUUGAAUAAUUUGGCUACCUGAAGUGCUGAAUAAAAGGAGCUCUCCCAAAAGAAGCUGUGAAUUCUCUAUCAGGCCCAUGUCCACUCUUCUAGUCAUAGCCUUACUUCUUAAAGAAAGAGAGAAGCUCUAAUCCAAAUCCAAACAUAGGACAUAUGGCGAAGAUUAUUCUGAGAGACACAGUCCCAGAUUCUCCUCUGCUAUACAGGUGUGACAAAAAAGGAGCAAGAACAAAGACUCUAACAUAAUCCUUAGAUGUUUAUAAUAG